rnacentral:rRNA from 1 species
AGCGGGAAAAGCUCAAAUUUAAAAUCUGGCAGAUGUUUGUCUGUCCGAGUUGUAACCUAGAGAAGUGUAACCUGUGCUGGACCGUGUACAAGUCUCCUGGAAUGGAGCAUCAUAGAGGGUGAGAAUCCCGUCUUUGACAUGGACUACCAGUGCACUGUGGUUGCACACUCAACGAGUCGAGUUGUUUGGGAAUGCAGCUCUAAAUGGGUGGUAAAUUCCAUCUAAAGCUAAAUAUUGGCGAGAGACCGAUAGCGAACAAGUACCGUGAGGGAAAGAUGAAAAGAACUUUGGAAAGAGAGUUAAACAGUAUGUGAAAUUGUUGAAAGGGAAACGCUUGAAGUCAGCUGCAUUAGCUGGGGAUCAAGCCAGCUUUUUUGCUGGGUGUACUUCCUGGUUGAUGGGCCAACAUCAGUUUUGACCAUCAGAGAAAGGCUAAGGGAAUGUGGCACCUUUAUAGGUGUGUUAUAGCCCUUGGUUGUAUGUGAUGGUUGGGACUGAGGA